AACGAACGCUGGCGGCAGGCUUAACACAUGCAAGUCGAGCGCCCCGCAAGGGGAGCGGCAGACGGGUGAGUAACGCGUGGGAAUCUACCCAUCCCUACGGAAUAGCUCCGGGAAACUGGAAUUAAUACCGUAUACGCCCUACGGGGGAAAGAUUUAUCGGGGAUGGAUGAGCCCGCGUUGGAUUAGCUAGUUGGCGGGGUAAAGGCCUACCAAGGCGACGAUCCAUAGCUGGUCUGAGAGGAUGAUCAGCCACAUUGGGACUGAGACACGGCCCAAACUCCUACGGGAGGCAGCAGUGGGGAAUAUUGGACAAUGGGGGCAACCCUGAUCCAGCCAUGCCGCGUGAGUGAUGAAGGCCUUAGGGUUGUAAAGCUCUUUCACCGGGGAAGAUAAUGACGGUACCCGGAGAAGAAGCCCCGGCUAACUACGUGCCAGCCGCCGCGGUAA
rnacentral:rRNA from 1 species